UAUUUUGUGAAAUUUUAAAACAUGCAUUCGACCCACUUUACCCGGUUCUCCGGGUUUUUCAGUUUUAAACCCACUUUACCCGAUUCCAUUCGACCCACUUUGAUAUUUCUGGGUUUUUCGGUUCUAGACCCACUUUACCCGGAACUGAACCGGAACCGGUUCAUAUGUUCUGAUCCGGUUUUCGGUCCUAAAAAAUCUCGUUUACCGGUUCCCGGAUUUUCCGGGUCCGGGUCUACCAGUCCGAGUUUGGACCCAUUCUCAUCCCUAUAUUAUUAUGUCUGUAUGUAAAAUUCAUAGUUUUUUAUAUUGAAACAGGUGAAAAUUCUUGUAGAACUACGUGAUGAAGAAUAUUAAAGAUGAAAUAUCUAUAAAAAAAAUAAAAAUAAAUAAAUAAAUACAACGAGGCGAAGAUAUUGGGUUGUGAAAGUAGGUUUGUAAAAAAUAUAUUUCAUGAGUUUUUGAGAUUUCAUUUUUUUUUGAACUGUAGUGUAUAUAUAAAAGACGAGCCAUAAGCUAGAAAAAAAAAACAAAUCAAUUAGUUCAUGAGCGGAUUCUGCAUCCACCCACUAGAGGUUUUCUUAAUUUUAUGGUUCCUAUUAGAAAGCCAAUUAUAUGAAAAAGAAACAAUAGAAUCAAACAUGAACUCUUACUUGUUAUUCCCAAACACUUGUGGAUUCUGAUAUGUCCAAAGAACCCAAAUCAAUGAAGCACAUGUGACCUCAAUGACAGAUCUUCGAGCAUCUGUUAACACGUGAUCAUCAAUCCAAACAUACACAUCUUCAAUAGAAUGAAAACUCGGAAUCAAUAAAUCUAAGGCUCCAUUUGUUUGUCUCUUGAUUGAAAAAUUAAGAGGUAAGAUCUUAAAAGUUCAGAUGAAGCUCGUUUGGUAACCUCUUAAAAAAAUACAUCUGCAUCGGAUAAAAGGCUCUUAAUUUUUUAGACUUGUAUCCAAGUUAGAAAAAAAUGACGUAACAGCCCUAAUUCACGCCUUUCUACUCUUCUCAUCAGCACGCCACCUCCUUUUUUUCUAAUCGACGCAUACUGUCAAUUCCUCCAUCCAUAGAAGCUUCGUUCCUCCAUUCCAUCUCCGUUGCCGGUGUCGUCUCCGAUCCUCCCAGUCAGGGUCGUCAUCGUCGCCUCCAGCUGCUACUCCAUCCUUGCAUCUCCAACGUUGCAUCUUGGACGUCAAAGGACUGGCGUCGGCGUCGCACAGGUCACCGCACACCUUCGCCGUUGAGUACACCCGUCAUACAGUACUUCGCACAGGUGCAACACAUCUAAUCUUCUGAAAUCGAAAAAAAACUUUGGAUGAUAAAAACUGUCAAGAAGGAUAACAACCAAGGAUUCUAUAUAGAUGCUAUCAAGAAGGGGGUGAUAAUGGAUGCAGUUUUCAGUGUUCAUUUUCCUAAUGUUUAUUGUUGCAGUUUUUAAGUUUAUUUGGAUUAUUGCAUUUGUAUGUAGAUCUGUUAACAUCAAUUUUUGUAAUGUGAUCCAUAUUAGCAUACAAUUCAGCACAAAAAUUCAGAGGUUCUUACCAAACAACAUGUUUAAAAUUCA